GAUGAACGCUAGCUACAGGCUUAACACAUGCAAGUCGCGGGGCAGCAUGGGGGUUGCUUGCAACCCCUGAUGGCGACCGGCGCACGGGUGAGUAACGCGUAUCCAACCUGCCCUUCACCACGGGAUAACCCGGCGAAAGUCGGAAUAAUACCGUAUGUUGUCCAUUGACGGCAUCCGAUUUGGACGAAAGGCUGGGCGGGGAAAGGAUGGGGAUGCGUCCGAUUAGCUUGACGGCGGGGUAACGGCCCACCGUGGCUACGAUCGGUAGGGGUUCUGAGAGGAAGGUCCCCCACACUGGAACUGAGACACGGUCCAGACUCCUACGGGAGGCAGCAGUGAGGAAUAUUGGUCAAUGGGCGUAAGCCUGAACCAGCCAAGUAGCGUGCAGGAUGACGGCCCUAUGGGUUGUAAACUGCUUUUAUGCGGGGAUAAAGUGGCCCACGUGUGGGCUUUUGCAGGUACCGCAUGAAUAAGGACCGGCUAAUUCCGUG
rnacentral:rRNA from 1 species